ensembl:lncRNA
AUAUUAGUGCCAUUGAUAGUAGUGCCAAUAAUAGUAUAACAACAAUUGAUAGUGGUGCUAUUUUUACUGCUACGAGUACUACUACUACCACCGAUGGUAAUAAUAAAACUGAUAUAUAUAACCUGAACAUUCAGAACAUUCAGAACACUCAGAACACUCAUAACACUCAGAACAUUCAAAACACUCAGAACAUUCAAAACACUCAAGAAUAUAUAACACCAAUAGAUUACUCGAAUAAUACAAUGGACCAAGUAAACACCAUUUCGGGUGAUAUAAAUUUGGUUGAUAACAAAAGUAAGAGUAACAAAGGUAGAAAAAAAAAUAAAAAGAAAAAUGAUGCAGAACAAAAUAUAUUACAAAAUACUGACGUAAUUAAUGAUAAGAAUUUAACUAAUGAUAGUAACAAUAUGUUAUUGGAAAAUAUUAAUAAAAAUGACAUAUUAACUGGUUUAACUAAAAAAAAUAAAAUAAGAAAACCGAGGAAAAAAAAAACAGAUAAUAAUGAUACUACUAUUGCUACUACUAAUGGUUUGGUUGUUAAUACUACAUCCGGUAAUGACAAUAUUGACGUUAAUAAUGGUACUAAACUUAUUACAGAUAUGGAUACAUUACAAAACCAAAAAAGUUCCAAUACUAAUCAAGAAAAAGGAGAGGAAAACAAAAUAACAACGUUAGCAGAGGGAGAACAGAUAAAACUAUAUAAACAAAAAAUAAAAGAAAUGUUUAAUCAAAAUAACAUGCACCAAAUGGAUGAACAUUCAUUUCAAAUGUUUUUAAAAGAUAAUAAAAAUGAACAAAUAUUUUUUGACAAAAUAAACAAUGAAACAUCAUCACUAAUAGGUGAUAGUGGUAGUACUAUUUCAACAAAUUACUUGUUAAAAAUAUUAGACUUAGAUAAAUCAAAGGAAAGAAAUGGUAAUGUUAGUGAUGACAUAAAUGAUGAAAAUGUCAUAAACAAAAAUGACGACCUUAACAAUGAACCUAAUAAUUACCAAAAAGAAAAUAAUAUUAAAAAAAAGAAAGCAGGUACAAAUGUGAGCGGACAAAAAAGAAAAAACCCACUAAAAGAGAAAACAACAACAAAAGAAAGAAAUGUAAGAAGAAAAAAAAAUGAGAAUAAGGAUGAUACUAUUAUGACAUUAACAUAUAUAACUAAGGAUGAAAAUAUGACCAAUAAUGAUACAGUUGUUGAAGGGGCUUUAAAUAAUAACACAAUAAAUAAUGAUAUAAUAAAUAAUAAUAUGAGUAGUAGUGGUAAUAUAAAUAAUAGUACUAAUAGUAAUAUUAAUAUAAAAAAAAAUAAUAUUAUUAACAAUAAAAAUGUGGCUAAUAAAAGAGUAUAUAUACCUCAUGUAAAUAAGUUUUCAAACUACUUAAAAAAUUUGAGAGCAUAUAACAAAUACCCAAAUCGAAAUUUUCACUACAAUUAUAGUAUUAACAAAUUAAAAAACAAAUUUAAAAAGUUCAGCUAUUGUAUGAAUAAAGUUUUUAAAAAAAAAAAUAUAAAUGACAUAAUUACAUUAAAUGAAAAUAUCAACAAUAAUAAACAAUUAUUAAGUUUAUUUAAAAAAAAAGAUACCCAAAAUUUAAAUAAAAAAAAUAUAUCUUUUUUUAUGGAAAAAAUGAAUUUUGAAGCAAUAGAUAUAUUAAUUCUCAAAAGAAUUAAUAUUUGUUUAGAUAAAAUAAAAAACACAAUAGGUUUUACAUGUGUUAUUAAUGACGCACAAAAAGUUGUAGAAAUAAUUAAAAACGCUUUUAAAAAUAGAUUAAACUUAAUGUGGCCUCUUAUUGAAUUUUCAAACAAGUAUAGAUUAGACCAGUACUUUCAUUUAUUGGGAAAAAACAGACUUAAUGCUCAACCAAAGUUUAAUGAUACAAAACUUUUUGUGCAUCAGAACAUAAACACCCUGGUGGUUUAUUUCAAUCAGCGAAAUAUAGAUAAAAAAAUGGUAAGCAAAUCUAAAAAAAAAGAUUGAUAAAUAAAAAGAUUGAUAAAUAAUAUAAUUAAGUUUGC